rnacentral:rRNA from 1 species
CCUGUGAGGGUUGCUGGAGGUAUCAGAAGUGCGAAUGCUGACAUAAGUAACGAUAAAGCGGGUGAAAAGCCCGCUCGCCGGAAGACCAAGGGUUCCUGUCCAACGUUAAUCGGGGCAGGGUGAGUCGACCCCUAAGGCGAGGCCGAAAGGCGUAGUCGAUGGGAAACGGGUUAAUAUUCCCGUACUUGGUGUUACUGCGAAGGGGGGACGGAGAAGGCUAUGUUGGCCGGGCGACGGUUGUCCCGGUUUAAGCGUGUAGGUGUGUGUUCCAGGUAAAUCCGGUUCACUUUAACACUGAGGCGUGACGACGAGGCACUACGGUGCUGAAGCAACAAAUGCCCUGCUUCCAGGAAAAGCCUCUAAGCAUCAGGUAACAUCAAAUCGUACCCCAAACCGACACAGGUGGUCAGGUAGAGAAUACCAAGGCGCUUGAGAGAACUCGGGUGAAGGAACUAGGCAAAAUGGUGCCGUAACUUCGGGAGAAGGCACGCUGACACGUAGGUGAAGUGAUUUACUCAUGGAGCUGAAGUCAGUCGAAGAUACCAGCUGGCUGCAACUGUUUAUUAAAAACACAGCACUGUGCAAACACGAAAGUGGACGUAUACGGUGUGACGCCUGCCCGGUGCCGGAAGGUUAAUUGAUGGGGUCAGCGCAAGCGAAGCUCCUGAUCGAAGCCCCGGUAAACGGCGGCCGUAACUAUAACGGUCCUAAGGUAGCGAAAUUCCUUGUCGGGUAAGUUCCGACCUGCACGAAUGGCGUAAUGAUGGCCAGGCUGUCUCCACCCGAGACUCAGUGAAAUUGAACUCGCUGUGAAGAUGCAGUGUACCCGCGGCAAGACGGAAAGACCCCGUGAACCUUUACUAUAGCUUGACACUGAACAUUGAGCCUUGAUGUGUAGGAUAGGUGGGAGGCUUUGAAGUGUGGACGCCAGUCUGCAUGGAGCCGACCUUGAAAUACCACCCUUUAAUGUUUGAUGUUCUAACGUGGACCCGUUACCCGGGUUGCGGACAGUGUCUGGUGGGUAGUUUGACUGGGGCGGUCUCCUCCUAAAGAGUAACGGAGGAGCACGAAGGUUGGCUAAUCCUGGUCGGACAUCAGGAGGUUAGUGCAAUGGCAUAAGCCAGCUUGACUGCGAGCGUGACGGCGCGAGCAGGUGCGAAAGCAGGUCAUAGUGAUCCGGUGGUUCUGAAUGGAAGGGCCAUCGCUCAACGGAUAAAAGGUACUCCGGGGAUAACAGGCUGAUACCGCCCAAGAGUUCAUAUCGACGGCGGUGUUUGGCACCUCGAUGUCGGCUCAUCACAUCCUGGGGCUGAAGUAGGUCCCAAGGGUAUGGCUGUUCGCCAUUUAAAGUGGUACGCGAGCUGGGUUUAGAACGUCGUGAGACAGUUCGGUCCCUAUCUGCCGUGGGCGCUGGAGAACUGAGGGGGGCUGCUCCUAGUACGAGAGGACCGGAGUGGACGCAUCACUGGUGUUCGGGUUGUCAUGCCAAUGGCACUGCCCGGUAGCUAAAUGCGGAAGAGAUAAGUGCUGAAAGCAUCUAAGCACGAAACUUGCCCCGAGAUGAGUUCUCCCUGAGACUUAGAGUCUCCUGAAGGAACGUUGAAGACGACGACGUUGAUAGGCCGGGUGUGUAAGCGCAGCGAUGCGUUGAGCUAACCGGUACUAAUGAACCGUGAGGCUUAACCUUACAACGCCGAAG